AUGGCGUGCCUUUUGUAGAAUGAACCGGCGAGUUACGAUUUGAUGCAAGGUUAAGCAGUAAAUGUGGAGCCGUAGCGAAAGCGAGUCUGAAUAGGGCGUUUAGUAUUUGGUCGUAGACCCGAAACCAGGUGAUCUACCCUUGGUCAGGUUGAAGUUCAGGUAACACUGAAUGGAGGACCGAACCGACUUACGUUGAAAAGUGAGCGGAUGAACUGAGGGUAGCGGAGAAAUUCCAAUCGAACCUGGAGAUAGCUGGUUCUCUCCGAAAUAGCUUUAGGGCUAGCCUCAAGUGAUGAUUAUUGGAGGUAGAGCACUGUUUGGACGAGGGGCCCCUCUCGGGUUACCGAAUUCAGACAAACUCCGAAUGCCAAUUAAUUUAACUUGGGAGUCAGAACAUGGGUGAUAAGGUCCGUGUUCGAAAGGGAAACAGCCCAGACCACCAGCUAAGGUCCCAAAAUAUAUGUUAAGUGGAAAAGGAUGUGGCGUUGCCCAGACAACUAGGAUGUUGGCUUAGAAGCAGCCAUCAUUUAAAGAGUGCGUAAUAGCUCACUAGUCGAGUGACACUGCGCCGAAAAUGUACCGGGGCUAAACAUAUUACCGAAGCUGUGGAUUGUCCUUUGGACAAUGGUAGGAGAGCGUUCUAAGGGCGUUGAAGCAUGAUCGUAAGGACAUGUGGAGCGCUUAGAAGUGAGAAUGCCGGUGUGAGUAGCGAAAGACGGGUGAGAAUCCCGUCCACCGAUUGACUAAGGUUUCCAGAGGAAGGCUCGUCCGCUCUGGGUUAGUCGGGUCCUAAGCUGAGGCCGACAGGCGUAGGCGAUGGAUAACAGGUUGAUAUUCCUGUACCACCUAUAAUCGUUUUAAUCGAUGGGGGGACGCAGUAGGAUAGGCGAAGCGUGCGAUUGGAUUGCACGUCUAAGCAGUAAGGCUGAGUAUUAGGCAAAUCCGGUACUCAUUAAGGCUGAGCUGUGAUGGGGAGAAGACAUUGUGUCUUCGAGUCGUUGAUUUCACACUGCCGAGAAAAGCCUCUAGAUAGAAAAUAGGUGCCCGUACCGCAAACCGACACAGGUAGUCAAGAUGAGAAUUCUAAGGUGAGCGAGCGAACUCUCGUUAAGGAACUCGGCAAAAUGACCCCGUAACUUCGGGAGAAGGGGUGCUCUUUAGGGUUAACGCCCAGAAGAGCCGCAGUGAAUAGGCCCAAGCGACUGUUUAUCAAAAACACAGGUCUCUGCUAAACCGUAAGGUGAUGUAUAGGGGCUGACGCCUGCCCGGUGCUGGAAGGUUAAGAGGAGUGGUUAGCUUCUGCGAAGCUACGAAUCGAAGCCCCAGUAAACGGCGGCCGUAACUAUAACGGUCCUAAGGUAGCGAAAUUCCUUGUCGGGUAAGUUCCGACCCGCACGAAAGGCGUAACGAUUUGGGCACUGUCUCAACGAGAGACUCGGUGAAAUCAUAGUACCUGUGAAGAUGCAGGUUACCCGCGACAGGACGGAAAGACCCCGUGGAGCUUUACUGUAGCCUGAUAUUGAAAUUCGGCACAGCUUGUACAGGAUAGGUAGGAGCCUUUGAAACGUGAGCGCUAGCUUACGUGGAGGCGCUGGUGGGAUACUACCCUAGCUGUGUUGGCUUUCUAACCCGCACCACUUAUCGUGGUGGGAGACAGUGUCAGGCGGGCAGUUUGACUGGGGCGGUCGCCUCCUAAAAGGUAACGGAGGCGCUCAAAGGUUCCCUCAGAAUGGUUGGAAAUCAUUCAUAGAGUGUAAAGGCAUAAGGGAGCUUGACUGCGAGACCUACAAGUCGAGCAGGGUCGAAAGACGGACUUAGUGAUCCGGUGGUUCCGCAUGGAAGGGCCAUCGCUCAACGGAUAAAAGCUACCCCGGGGAUAACAGGCUUAUCUCCCCCAAGAGUUCACAUCGACGGGGAGGUUUGGCACCUCGAUGUCGGCUCAUCGCAUCCUGGGGCUGUAGUCGGUCCCAAGGGUUGGGCUGUUCGCCCAUUAAAGCGGUACGCGAGCUGGGUUCAGAACGUCGUGAGACAGUUCGGUCCCUAUCCGUCGUGGGCGUAGGAAAUUUGAGAGGAGCUGUCCUUAGUACGAGAGGACCGGGAUGGACAUACCUCUGGUGUACCAGUUGUCGUGCCAACGGCAUAGCUGGGUAGCUAUGUGUGGACGGGAUAAGUGCUGAAAGCAUCUAAGCAUGAAGCCCCCCUCAAGAUGAGAUUUCCCAACUUCGGUUAUAAGAUCCCUCAAAGAUGAUGAGGUUAAUAGGUUCGAGGUGGAAGCAUGGUGACAUGUGGAGCUGACGAAUACUAAUCGAUCGAAGACUUAAUCAA
rnacentral:rRNA from 2 species